GUGUCAAAAUGAAAGUUGUAGAUCUUAUUAUUACCUACGCGUGGAUAUAAAGAACGUCAAAAACGGAGGUCGUAUGUGAAAGUUACGGAUUUUAGAAGUCGGAAGUGUGCUGUGCGAAAAUGGGUGAUGUGGCACAAUCUUGGCCAUUGCUUUCUCCCCAAGGCUUGCCACCAGAUGGUGACAUGUGGCACCAAGUUCAGCCACAUUUCACCCUAUAAAUACCACCUCUCCCACCCUCAUUUUCUUCACACCUUUCCCAUUCUUUCUUCUCUUUACUCUCUCUCUCUCUCUCUAGAACCUCUCUCUAGCCCCGAAAUCCCCCGAAAAGCCUAGGGAACCUCCCUAGCACGAGGCGGAAGCCCCGGAGUGCUCGAAGGCUCCGAGAAGAAGAGCUUUUCGGCUCGGGAACGCUGCUCCAAGCAAAGCCCGGUUUUCUAUAAAACCCGCUGUUUCGUCGAAGAAAAUUCUUUUUAAGAAGCGAAGCGCUGUCUGAGUUCGGAAUCACCACCUUUUCAGGUAGUGGCGCUUGAGCAUAUAUAUGAUGUUUGGACGAGGGAUUACGGAUAUAGGCAUGUAGAUAUGAAAUAAUGUAGUAAGGCUUGUAUUGUACUGUUUAUGCUUUUGAUCUGUACGAACAUGACAUCCCGAGUCUUUUAAUGAAAUACAUUUCUAUGGAAAUGCUUUUGAUAAAUCUUUAUCAUAUUAUUGUUUUGGGACAAAUUCCGCAACACUUUUAUUUAAAAUGUUACUCUGAUUUUUAAACAAAGC